rnacentral:rRNA from 1 species
GCAGGCUGCAACUCGCCUGUAUGAAGUCGGAAUUGCUAGUAAUCGUGGAUCAGCAUGCCACGGUGAAUACGUUCCCGGGCCUUGUACACACCGCCCGUCACACCAUGAGAGCCGGGAACACCCGAAGUCCGUAGUCUAACCUAUAUGGAGGACGCGGCCGAAGGUGGGUUUGGUAAUUGGGGUGAAGUCGUAACAAGGUACC